rnacentral:rRNA from 1 species
UAGGGAAUCUUCGGCAAUGGACGGAAGUCUGACCGAGCAACGCCGCGUGAGUGAAGAAGGUUUUCGGAUCGUAAAGCUCUGUUGUAAGAGAAGAACGAGUGUGAGAGUGGAAGGUUCACACUGUGACGGUAUCUUACCAGAAAGGGACGGCUAACUACGUGCCAGCAGCCGCGGUAAUACGUAGGUCCCGAGCGUUGUCCGGAUUUAUUGGGCGUAAAGCGAGCGCAGGCGGUUAGAUAAGUCUGAAGUUAAAGGCUGUGGCUUAACCAUAGUAGGCUUUGGAAACUGUUUAACUUGAGUGCAAGAGGGGAGAGUGGAAUUCCAUGUGUAGCGGUGAAAUGCGUAGAUAUAUGGAGGAACACCGGUGGCGAAAGCGGCUCUCUGGCUUGUAACUGACGCUGAGGCUCGAAAGCGUGGGGAGCAAACAGGAUUAGAUACCCUGGUAGUCCACGCUGUAAACGAUGAGCGCUAGGUGUUAGACCCUUUCCGGGGUUUAGUGCCGUAGCUAACGCAUUAAGCACUCCGCCUGGGGAGUACGACCGCAAGGUUG